CACGAUGUGAUCCACCAGCCAGGAGGGACGCCAACAAGGCAUCCGAUAAGAUAAAUCUUAUAUAAAAUAUAGAUUUAUGAUAAUUAAGACUAAGCUAACAGAUGAGGAAUCCUAGUCAUUGGCCAAGCAUCAUUGAACCUAAUACAAGUUUCUGUGUAUUCAUUUGGGCCUAACUUGAGCAGGCAGCUGGCGUAAAGCACACACGUGGUGGUGGGGCUCAGGCAGUUUAUGGUGGAAAGAUUUAUCUUGAGCCUUCCUCAGACCAACAUCAACCCUGCUGGAGCAACUCCUUGAGCAGGGAAACAGAAGAGGAGUGGAUCCAGGGAGAGGAGAUGUCUGUGAAGAAUUGUGCGGGGAUUUUGAUGGUGCUGGCAUAACUGGUUGCAGACAUGUAGAAGACUGCAGCUAGACCCAAGCCUA
rnacentral:lncRNA from 1 species